UUGUGAAGUUAGAGGAGGUCUGACACCUCCAAUGCCAUGCCAUUUUUACAUAUGGUAUGUGAGGUUUGUGUGUCCAUUGCAAUGGAUUAUGGAAGGAUUAUGGAACCCAAGAGAGAAGUAGAGACUGCCAUGGGAGAGACAGCUGGUGUCAGGUUUCCAGACAAGACCUGACAGCUAAUGAAGUGAUGAAGAUAUAAAAGAGAGAAGUAAGC